GGAACAAAAGGCGGGACAGAAAUAUGCACAUCUCAUAAGAACUCUAUACUCAUAUGAUGACUGACAGGAACACUUAUGUGUACUACACUGGUGGGUCAGGCCAGUCUGGCUAGCUAACGUUGUCCAGAGCGUUAUCUAGCUAGCCAUUCCAAGUGAGUCAACUCUCAGUCCAAAAUGGCGACGACAAAAAGACGGAAGUCGUAGCAGGCAGGGAGCUGGGCAUGGGCUGAAUCAGGACAGCCAAAACGGUCCGAGGCCCUGUCAUCACCAUUCUGGAGACAUUCCUGUAGUCCAAGUAGAGGACACACUGUCCAUUCACCUGGCAAACAAACUGGCGCACCUAAAAAAAGAUGAUGUAAACAGCUGCUGCAGGGCUUCCUCGGUCAACAGCCUGCACAUAACAGGGAGCCGUGCCUCUGACAACAAAGCCCCAGCCAAGGGCAUCUCCUAUCACCUGUGAUGGCCGAAAGGGAUUGCAUACCACUGAGGUCGAAGACACCUGGACAAAAGGUGGAAAUCCAGCAGAGUGAAGCUGAAGGGAAUUCAAGCUGCUUCGACGCCCACUGGUAACCUGUUUCAGAUCUUUACUUGACCCCACUGUAAUUAAAUGAGUAGGAAAAGUAUUAUGCGAUCAUAAGCAUUUACAACAAAG